CCUACGGGAGGCAGCAGUGAGGAAUAUUGGUCAAUGGCCGAAAGUCUGAACCAGCCAAGCAGCGUGAAGGAUGAAGGUUCUAAGUAUUGUAAACUUCUUUUGUCAAGGGAUAAAAAGAGGCACGAGAGCCUUUCUGCCUGUACUUAAUGCAUAAGGAUCGGCUAACUCCGUGCCAGCAGCCGCGGUAAUACGGAGGAUCCGAGCGGUAUACGGAUUUAUUGGGUUUAAAGGGAGCGUAGGUGGGAUGUUAAGGCAGUGGUUAAAGGUUGCGGCUCAAACGCGGAAUUGCAUUUGAGACUGGCAGUGUUGAGGAGAGGUGAGGUAGGCGGAAUUCGUGGUGUAGCGGUGAAAUGCUUAGAUAUCACGAAGAACCCCGAUUGCGAAGGCAGCUUA
rnacentral:rRNA from 1 species